AACGAACGCUGGCGGCGUGCUUAACACAUGCAAGUCGAACGCGAGGUUCUUCUUCGGAGAAACUGAGAGUGGCGCACGGGUGAGUAACGCGUAAGUAAUCUAUCCUGGCAUCUGGAAUAACACACCGAAAGGUGUGCUAAUACCGGAUACGUUGAUUUAUCAAGAAAGGUGGCCUCUGUAUAUGCUACCGUGCUUGGAGGAGCUUGCGUACCAUUAGCUAGUUGGUAGGGUAAGGGCCUACCAAGGCGACGAUGGUUAGCGGGUCUGAGAGGAUGAUCCGCCACGCUGGAACUGGAACACGGACCAGACUCCUACGGGAGGCAGCAGUGAGGAAUAUUGCGCAAUGGGGGCAACCCUGACGCAGCGACGCCGCGUGGAUGAUGAAGGCCUUCGGGUCGUAAAAUCCUGUCAGAUGGAAAGAAACCUCUGUAUGCUAAUAUCAUGCAGAAUUGACGGUACCAUCAAAGGAAGCACCGGCUAACUCCGUGCCAGCAGCAGCCGCAG
rnacentral:rRNA from 1 species